rnacentral:rRNA from 1 species
GGGGGAAUAUUGCACAAUGGGCGCAAGCCUGAUGCAGCCAUGCAGCGUGUAUGAAGAAGGCCUUCGGGUUGGAAAGUACUUUCAGUCGGGAGGAAGGUGGUAAGGUUAAUAACCUUAUCAAUUGACGUUACCGACAGAAGAAGCACCGGCUAACUCCGUGCCAGCAGCCGCGGUAAUACGGAGGGUGCAAGCGUUAAUCGGAAUUACUGGGCGUAAAGCGCACGCAGGCGGUUGAUUGAGUCAGAUGUGAAAUCCCCGGGCUUAACCCGGGAAUUGCAUCUGCUACUGGUCAGCUAGAGUCUUGUAGAGGGGGGUAGAAUUCCAUGUGUAGCGGUGAAAUGCGUAGAGAUGUGGAGGAAUACCGGUGGCGGAGGCGGCCCCCUAGACAAAGACUGACGCUCAGGUGCGAAAGCGUGGAGAGCAAACAGG